rnacentral:misc_RNA from 1 species
GAAUUUGAAUUAGAAACUUUAAUCGAAUUUUCUUUUGCUAUGGAUAAAGAUGAAGAGCUUGAGGAAUGCGUCCCAGGGAAUAGAAAAUAUCACGCUUUGGAGAUUCCAUUGGAAGUUAAAGAAAAACCAUACAUGGAGACAAUAAUAGAAGUAGGAGAAAAACAAGUUGUGGAAAUGUGAUUACUUUUCGUAAUUGACAAUUGGAAAAAAAUUUUACAGUAUUAUUAUUUUGUGAUUACUUUAUUAUUAUGUAAUUUUCGAAUUGC